CCACAUUCUAGUUAUGCUAGCUAGAGUCAUCGGUCUCAGCUACUGACUAUCUAUACAAUUAAUAUGGAUUUCAAAGCUGUGAUCCUUCUGUUUGCCUCCAUUCUCUUACUUACUACAAAGGUCUCAUCUAAUCAUGAUCAUGAACUCAAGAUAAAGAAUCAGAGUCAACGCCGUAGUUUACUUAAUAUUUGGAUAUAUCCACGCAUUCCAUUUUGGAGCCAGCAUUCAGGGAUCCAUAUCAACCACAACGUCCACUGUAUAAACCGAAGGCUCCCGUAGUACUGGAGGCCCCGCCACCCACUUCCGAUGCAACUCCACCACCAUCGGCGACUACCAGCUCAGAUUGCUUCAAGUUGUGUGACGUGAGGUGCAAAAUCGAAAAGAACAAGAAGAUCUGCCGGAAAUCGUGCAUGUUAUGCUGUGCCCGCUGCAAAUGUGUUCCGCCGGGAGACUAUGGCACCAACAUGGACAAGUGUGGCAAAUGCUAUAGUACUGAUAUACAGUAUCACGGACACAAGUGCCCUUGACCUAUAUAUUAAUCUUGUAAUUAAUCAACUAAUUAAGCAUGAAGUCGAGAUAAUUAAUAAGUAUUAUAAGGAUUGAUCGUAAAGGACAGAAAAUAAAAGGCCAAUAUAUAUAUAAUUAUAUAUAUAUGGUAUUUAUAUGGCUUACGCGUCCAAUAUUUCGAUAGUAUUUUUAGUUCGUUUGAACUUUGAAACUUCAAUAGUAAGAUUAUAUUCAAUUGUCCAAUGUCAAUGGCAUAAACUUAGUAUAACAAUUAAUGAAGUCUAUGAAUAAAUAAUAUAUCCUUUUAAUUAAAUA